UACGAAGGGGGCUAGCGUUGCUCGGAAUCACUGGGCGUAAAGGGUGCGUAGGCGGGGCUUUAAGUCAGGGGUGAAAUCCUGGAGCUCAACUCCAGAACUGCCUUUGAUACUGAGGAUCUUGAGUCCGGAAGAGGUCGGCGGAACUGCGAGUGUAGAGGUGAAAUUCGUAGAUAUUCGCAAGAACACCAGUGGCGAAGGCGGCCGACUGGUCCGGUUCUGACGCUGAGGCGCGAAAGCGUGGGGAGCAAACAGG
rnacentral:rRNA from 1 species